rnacentral:rRNA from 1 species
UACGAAGGGGGCUAGCGUUGUUCGGAAUUACUGGGCGUAAAGCGCGCGCAGGCGGUCUGUUAAGUUAGGGGUGAAAUCCCUGGGCUCAACCCAGGAAUUGCCCUUAAGACUGGCAGGCUUGAGUGCGGGAGAGGUGAGUGGAAUUCCCAGUGUAGAGGUGAAAUUCGUAGAUAUUGGGAAGAACACCAGUGGCGAAGGCGGCUCACUGGCCCGUAACUGACGCUGAGGCGCGAAAGCGUGGGGAGCAAACAGG